rnacentral:rRNA from 1 species
UCAUUCAAAUAUCUGCCCUAUCAACUUUCGAUGGUAGGAUUAGAGGCCUACCAUGGUGGUGACGGGUAACGGGGAAUAAGGGUUCGAUUCCGGAGAGGGAGCCUGGGAAACGGCUACCACAUCCACGGAAGGCAGCAGGCGCGCAAAUUACCCAAUCCCGACACGGGGAGGUAGUGACAAUAAAUAACAAUAUAGGGCCCUUUCGGGUCUUAUAAUUGGAAUGAGUACAAUUUAAAUCCGUUAACGAGGAACAAUUGGAGGGCAAGUCUGGUGCCAGCAGCCGCGGUAAUUCCAGCUCCAAUAGCGUAUUAAUUCAAAGUUGUUGCAGUUAAAAAGCUCGUAGUUGAACUUCAGACCUGGCCGGGCGGUCCGCCUAACGGUGUUGGUA